rnacentral:rRNA from 1 species
UACGUAGGGGGCAAGCGUUGUCCGGAAUCAUUGGGCGUAAAGAGCGUGUAGGCGGCCCGGUAAGUCCGCUGUGAAAGUCCAGGGCUCAACCCUGGGAUGCCGGUGGAUACUGUCGGGCUCGAGUCCGGAAGAGGAGUGUGGAAUUCCUGGUGUAGCGGUGAAAUGCGCAGAUAUCAGGAGGAACACCAAUGGCGAAGGCAGCACUCUGGGACGUGACUGACGCUCAGACGCGAAAGCGUGGGGAGCGAACAGG